rnacentral:lncRNA from 1 species
GUACUGUAGAGAUGCCAUAGUAAAAAGGGUGGUAGGGAGAAGAGUUUAUAGAUACAUAAGCAGGUAUGUGGAGACGAGUGUUUAACUGAUCUAGCUGCUAGUGGAAAUGUCAAGAGCUCCUACUUCUGUCCUGGCCUGUUCUGUCUACACAUUUGGCAGGUUUUAACUGAUAGAAUCUCAAUUCAGCCAGAAAGAAUACAAACGAGCUGCUCCUUCAUAUAAGGUUCUUGUAGACUGAUGGAGUGGAGAGCUGACUAAUCUCACUUGAAAACGUUUAGAAAAGAA